rnacentral:rRNA from 1 species
UACGUAGGGGGCAAGCGUUGUCCGGAAUCAUUGGGCGUAAAGAGCGUGUAGGCGGCCUGGUAAGUCCGCUGUGAAAGUCCAGGGCUCAACCCUGGAAUGCCGGUGGAAACUGUCGAGCUAGAGUCCGGAAGAGGCGAGUGGAAUUCCUGGUGUAGCGGUGAAAUGCGCAGAUAUCAGGAGGAACACCAAUGGCGAAGGCAGCUCGCUGGGACGGUACUGACGCUGAGACGCGAAAGCGUGGGGAGCAAACAGG